GUGCCCCCCCCCCCCCCCCGGGAGCCGCCCGGCGCUCUUAGAAUGAGCUCCAAACUCCGGCUCGGGGGCCGAGCCCCCGUGUGAGCCGACCCCUGCCCGCUCCGUCCUAGCCACAGCCACUUCUCCCUCUCCCCUUCCUCACCAGACCCCUCAUGUCUUCGGUGCUUUACACAGAUCUUCUGCACGAAACCCACUGAGCUCUCCCCUGGGCCGGACCUCCCCAGCGGGGGCCUUCGCUCACUCACACCUCUGCUGAGACCCCGCCCCCCUUCCCAUCCCUGACCUUCCCCUCCCUCUCCAGCACUGCCACAUCUGGCUUUCUGCAGCCUGGCACUUUUCACCCUCCCAAACGAUCUCGCUCACAUGUUUGUUCACUGGCGGGUUACCUGUCCCCUCUUAGCUCUCAGGUAGCCCCCGAGAGCGUGGACUUUGCCCAUCGUGCCCACUGCUGUGAUAUCGGUGCUAGGGGCCCGGCAGGCUUGCCAAGGCCAUUUGUUACCUGGAUGACUGCAUUGAAUAAUCAGCGCAACCUUAUGGGCCCUGUGUUAUGACUCAGCCCAUUUUACGGAUGAAAAAACUGAGGCAGAGGGAGGAGAAAUAAUUUGCCCAAAGGCACAGGAAUGGGGGGGAAAAAAUGAAGAGUCAGGAUUUGGGGUCCAAGAGCUGCUAAAUCCACAUGGAGCACGGACCAAGAAGGCUCAGCUGAGGACUUCGGGACAAAUCAGAAGGGAUCUGGAGGCUCCCCUGUCUGCGUUUCCUGGGUCAUUUUUGUUCCGGCAGAAGCCAGCGUUGUCUGGGAACCAAAGGAUCUGACUACAGAUGUUUCUCAUCAGCUCCACGAAGCUCUGCAAGCCUUUUAAUUUGGUCUCCAGUUCGGUCCGCCGGAGACACUCCGCAUCCAGGUCCUGAGGGUGGGAGCAGUGAACCUCCAUUUCCAGCAAGCUGUGCCUUCGGUCAAGUCUGCUCCAAGAUGCCCGCUCACCGCUCCCCCUCUCCCUCCACCUCGUCUGCUUUGCUCGCUGGUAGGACACCAUUCCAUCAUGGUCCCUCUGGACGGGAGAGUGUGGACAUUGCGGCCAGAGGGACCCACAGUGUGCUCUUGGGCAGGUGAAGCCCUCCUUCCUCGGCUCGCCUGUCUAUCAGGGGUGGGGUUGCAUGUGUGUGCACGUGUGGGGGUUGGACCAAGCCCACCCCUGAUGCAUGACAGAUAUUGCAGAGUCAGAACUCAACGCAGGUGGGUUCUCUCUCUUCUUAGAUUUGUCUCCUCCUUACUCAGGCCCACCUUGUGUUUGGAAUAAGAACGUUGCUGGAUGGGAGACGGGAUCUCUGGGUCACUGAUCUGAACCCCUGCCUCUAAUCUUGGCCCCUGGGGCUGAGGGUGAUGGGUGGAUGUGGGGAUUCUGCGCUUCCUGUUUUCAUCCCUCCUCCCCAGGGAAUGCCUGAAUCACUGGCGGCUCUAAUUACAGCCGCCCGCCUUCCCAGGUCCCUGACCUCACGGAGGCAGCAGCGUCACCCAUUGCCCACAGCAGCUGGCUGGCCCCCUCUUUUCCACCAGCCUCCCUGAGACACCCAGGGGAGUGGACCCAAGCCGACAAGAGCCCGCUGGGCACGGGGUCUCUGAAACUCCGUGUGCUGAGCACACGCCGGCUCCCCAGACACUGCCCUGGCUUCCGAGAGUCUGUCUGCAGGGCAGGGGGGCUCUUAGGAUGCAGGUCGUGGGGGUGGGGAGGAGGGUGGGCCAGGGAGACGGGCCUGCAGUCUGGGGCCCAGCAGAGCCCGGGAAGCCCGGGAAGUUUACUUGCACUCUUUCCUGUGCUAGCGGGCUCCAGAGCCACACUGCUGGGGCUCAGAUCCUGGCUCCUCGCUCCCUAGCCACGUGACCUUGAAGAAGCUGCUUGCGCGCCUCGGUCAUGAUAAUUGUGAUGUCACGAGGGUUAUAUAAGUUAAUACAUGGAGUGUUUACCAAGUGCA